AGUUAAGAUGGCGCGGGGAAGUGCCGGGAGCCGUCUCCGUCGCCGCCUCGGGGGAACCGGCCCGGGCCUCGGCCGCCUCUAGUCCUCACACAGCCGAGGCCCUCUCGGUCCCCCGCCGCGGCCCCUCGGCGGGCGGGCCCACGCGCAGCCCUCCGCCACCAACACCACCCCUGUGGCAAGAGGAAAAACAGCAAGUCCAACUCCACAGGUUUGUAAGGAGCAGCCAGCUUUGAUUUGCCCUGCACGUCAUAGCUCAGAAAGUUUUGCUGCUCAUACAAUCCUCAGCAAAGACCAUCCAUUCAUUCCGGGAUUCCCCCAGCUCAUGGACACAGGUCGGUCUCUAACUACAGACAGCCUUCUUCUGGAAACUCUCACCAGCCUGAUUUCUAAACUCCCAGUCCACCUUCACAUUGUUUGCCUGUUUUCAGUGCCUUUCCUCUGCAGAUCUCUCAGUAGGCAGCCGUAAGGAGUCAGCAAAGGCUAACACGGCUGCCCUCAGCUGGAAACCUAGUGUAGUGCCUAUUACAUUUCUCCUGGAACCACUCCUUGUGAGAAAGGCAAUUCAAACUCUAUCUUAAGUGAGCAUCUACUUCCUUUUCAUCUGAGUUAUAAAAGAAUAGUGCCCCCUUUGGCUCAAAUCUAUGCAAUGUGGAGGAAGAAAAGGCAAGAGCUAAUCCUUGCCAUGAAUUCAUCAUUGUCAUCGUCACCAUUUCACCAUUAUCAGCAACAGACUCUAGAAACAACUUGGUGAAGGCUUGAAAAUAGAGGGUAGAGCAGAUAUAGGGCAGCCUUCUCAAGGAUAUCUCCUCCUUUUUUUGAAAAGAGAUGUUCUCUUUUUCUUGCAUCUUUAUUCUCAGUCCAUUUGCCCUACAGCCUCUGUGCUUCCAAGAUGAAGUUCUGAUAAGUGUCUGCUGUGAUAAGAUAAUAAGAGAGUCUAUCUAUGUAGCUUGGAAAUAAACACUGGAAUUGCUUCUCAAAAAUCCAGAUUGAUUUA
rnacentral:lncRNA from 1 species